GAUGAACGCUGACGGAAUGCUUAACACAUGCAGUCACCGAUAGUGUCGGACGGGUGUGUAUAGCGUAUAGAACUUGCCUCCCAGCUAGGGACAACACUUGUAAACGCAUCCUAUUACCUACUACUGUGAGAGAGCUUUGCUUCCUAGUAGCUAGUUGGAGAGGUAACGGCGCACCAAGUCGAUGAUGUGUAGCCGGCCUGAGGGGGUGAUCGUCCACAAGGGGACUGAGACACGGCCCUUACGCCUACGGGAGGCAGCAGUGGGGAAUAAUGGAGAACGAACCAGAGUCUGAUCCAGCGCUUCUGUGUGCACGAUGAAGUUUUCGGAAUGUAAAGUGCUUUCAGUUGGGAAGCGGUACCAACAGAAGAAGUGACGGCUAACUACGUGCCAGCAGCCGCGGUAAUAC
rnacentral:rRNA from 1 species